rnacentral:lncRNA from 1 species
AAACGGAUUUGAAGCACCGUAACAGCAAAAUGAAGACCCUUUUUGCCCGAGGCUGCAAAGCGACGCGCGGUUGGUGCGCAACUACAAGUUCCUGCGGAAUCGAGCACCGGAUGCCGCGGGAGGCCGAUUGCAAGUGUCGACAAGCAAUCGGAAUGCACUAACAGGUGGGUUGUGCUUACUGAAGCGACUAGGUCGCCUUCAUGUCGAAGAAAAAUAGGAUUUCCUAGUUGAUGCAUAUAAUGGGUUAAAUGCUAUAUGAUGCAUGUGAUGUGAAGGUUGGGUAAAUGCAUAUAGUGUGAGAAAUGUAUGUUACAUGAUAAUUGCAUAUGAAUAUAAUGCAUGCUAGUUGAUAAUGACAAACUAAUAUGUUGAAUGUUAGAUGAAAGCAUGAACUAAAUGUUAGAGAGAUGCAUGAAAUGAUGUUGUAUGAAUACAUAGGCUAUAUUAUGCAAGUUGGAACACAUGCAUGUUAAUGUAUUUGUGGACUAUGUUGAGUAACAUAUGCUAAUUAACAUAUGCAUGUUGACUUGGGUCUAAAACUCUUGGAUGACUAGAAAACUUGACAUUGGAAAUACAAAUGUAGUAUUAAUAUCGUGAUAUGGUUUGGAUUCCUACAAUGGGACGAUAAAUGUGGAUAAGAUCUAGGUAAAUGAGAACCUAGAGAUUGUGUACAAGUAGUGCAUCGAGAACACUUGAAUUAUGACGAGUGGCAUGUAGUUAAUGUGAACCUAUGACGAGUGGCAUAUAUGAAUCUUAGUGUAGCUGAAACACUAGAUUGAUGAGUAUAGAAACCUAUUGGUUCUAUGUUGAUGCUAUCCUUAGUUGAUAGGAUGUUCCCAGUUCAUGAGAUUGGAUCGAGCUCACUUA